rnacentral:rRNA from 1 species
GAGUUUGAUCCUGGCUCAGAACGAACGCUGGCGGCGUGCUUAACACAGCAAGUCGAACGCGAACGGUUCCUUCGGGGACCAAGUAGAGUGGCGCACGGGUGAGUAACGCGUAAGUAAUCUCCCCUUGCAUUCGGAAUAACUCGCCGAAAGGUGUGCUAAUACCGGAUACGUCUGGAAUAAUGACUUUUUUUCAGGAAAGGUGGCCUCUUCAUGAAAGCUACUGCAGCAGGAGGAGCUUGCGUACCAUUAGCUAGUUGGUAGGGUAAUGGCCUACCAAGGCGACGAUGGUUAGCGGGUCUGAGAGGAUGAUCCGCCACACUGGAACUGAAACACGGACCAGACUCCUACGGGAGGCAGCAGUGAGGAAUAUUGCGCAAUGGGGGAAACCCUGACGCAGCGACGCCGCGUGGAUGAUGAAGGCCUUCGGGUCGUAAAAUCCUGUCAGAUGGGAAGAAGUGUAUAUUACCUAAUACGUGAUAUAUUUGACGGUACCAUCAAAGGAAGCACCGGCUAACUCCGUGCCAGCAGCCGCGGUAAUAC